rnacentral:rRNA from 1 species
AACGAACGCUGGCGGCAUGCCUAACACAUGCAAGUCGAACGAGACCUUCGGGUUUAGUGGCGCACGGGUGCGUAACGCGUGGGAACCUGCCCUUAGGUUCGGAAUAACUCCCCGAAAGGGGUGCUAAUACCGGAUAAUGUCUUCGGACCAAAGAUUUAUCGCCCUUGGAUGGGCCCGCGUUGGAUUAGCUAGUUGGUAGGGUAAAAGCCUACCACGGCGACGAUCCAUAGCUGGUCUGAGAGGCUGAUCAGCCACACUGGGACUGAGACACGGCCCAGACUCCUACGGGAGGCAGCAGUGGGGAAUAUUGGACAAUGGGCGAAAGCAUGAUCCAGCAAUGCCGCGUGAGUGAUGAAGGCCUUAGGGUUGUAAAGCUCUUUUACCCGGGAUGAUAAUGACAGUACCGGGAGAAUAAGCUCCGGCUAACUCCGUG